UUUGUAUCCUUCCUCCCAAAAGUUACAGGGUGAAACAUACAUGAUUAUCCCAUUUUGCCCUCACAACCAUGGGGUGUGUGGGUGCGCGCCUGUAUGGAGUCCAGCUGAAACAUUUGCACAGGCUCACUCAAGGUGGUUCAUAGCCCAGUAGGUAUAUGAAGUCAAACUUCCCUAAUUCAACACCAACAGUCACUCCCCUGCCACCCCAGUUAAUUAAGAAAUGUUUAUAUUGCUUGGACUUGCCCCUAGAGCCUGUCUUCAGGGAAGAGAUGUUAGACAAAAGUACUUCGGUUCACGUAUAGAAUGUAUUUCCCUCACCCCUAAAAGUUGCCCUAUUGGUUUUCUUUAUGUAUUUCCAACUUUUGGGUUUAAGCAGUGCACCCAUGAUGUUGGGUUCAGGUUAUUUUAUUCUUAAUAUGCUAGAAUGUGUGGGACCCCAUAAUGACUUGCCAUACUACGCAACCUCCUUGAAUAAAGUGCUGCCAGGAUUGGAAACCAUUUUGGACAAACCCAGUAAUAUGGGGCAAAGCAUGUAGUGAGUGUUUGGACCAAGUAACAGAAUUAUGGUUUUGCUCUGUAUUCAAUGUCUAUUUCAGAUUAGCUGUAAGUGAUGAUAGAGUUGCCACAUUAGCUCACUUUGCUUUUCAUGUAGUAUAGCAGUUCCUCAAAUUUCUUCGCAACUCAGAUAAUUUUAGAUGGCUUUAGGAAAUCCUGUUCUUGGAUUGUGAUGUACUUAGAACACUGGAACUGAAGAGAUCCCUGAGUUGGAAUUUUUUAGUCUGUGACCACUAUCUGCAUAUAGAAUUCUGCUGCCUUUUCACCCAAACGCAUACUGAAAUUAUAGUGAGAGAACUAGGAAAAUAAUCAGCAAUACUGAGUCCAUGCAGUCAUAUGUCAGGUGAAAUCCUGUCUGGGAGCAUCUCGAAGGCUACAUUUUACCUCUUCCACAAAUAAACUCUGGUGUCUUUUUAUCAAAUAAUAGGCAUGAAAGCUUCCUAUAUUAUUUGUUUAUUAAAAUAAUUUAUAUAUUUUAUUUUAUUUAUUUAAUAAAAGAAUGUAUAUACUACUUUUUAGAUAAAAAUACUAAGGUGGUUCACAUAAAAUUACAAUAAAAAUACCAUAAAAACAAAUCAAUUAAUCAAUAACAAUGUAUCAGUCACAGUAACUAAAGGACACUUAGAACCAGCAGUAGUAGUCAGGAAAACACCUGGGACAGGCUGGCUGAUGGGCAGCUGGUAUAGCAAUGGAUGGUAACUUUUGGGUCAUGGCUAGGAUGACUAGGCUGGGGUCAGCAUUGUUGGAUACCUGUCAAGGCCCAUGCCCCAAUAAGGGGCCCACUGCCAAUCCCUAGAGUUUCCUGGGGCUCCUCAUUCUUGUUGUUGCUGACUCUCUGAAUGAGCAAGCAGUGAAAGGAGUGAAGAGAAGGAACAUUAGCUCCUAUAUGCCUUGUCCUCUCCCUCUGGAUGGUUGUGUACAUUGAACCCAGACAGAGUGGUAAGCAAAUUGGAAGUGGCAAUAGUGGUAGGGAGGAGGCAAGUGUACUCAGGGAGGAGGGCCCACUGAGAGCACCUUGCCCUCCAAAUCCUGGAGUUAUCACUGAGGGUGACUAGAAGACAAUGAGGUUCCUGUACUUUUUAUAGUUGUCUAGAAGAUAGUUGUCCCCUUCUGCAUUUGUCCAUUCUAGUCAUGUGGUAUGUUGUGGGCUUGCAAGGCAAGAGUUGUUGUAAUUAUUAUUAUUAAUUGAAUUUAUAUCCCACCCUUCCUCCCGAAAGAGUGCAGGGCAGCAAACAUAAAACAAUUUAACAAGAAAAAUGUACUAAAAACAGUUAAAAACAUUCCAAAGCACAAUUACAAUUGAAAACAUUCUAAAACACAGUUAAAACGUUGUAAAACACAGCUUGGAAACAUUAUUUCAUCAGUGAUCUUUAGGAGUAUGUUUAAAAGCACACCAGCAAAAAUGUAUUAAAAAAAAUAUGGUUGGCAGUCUUGUACCAUUUAAUCCCUCAAUUAUGGUUGGCAGUCUUGUACCAUUUAAUUGUACCAUUGUAAUUCUGCAAACACAGAAGUAAUAUAUCUGGUGGCAUAGCAGUGGCACAAUAACUGGUAUACCAUUUAUUUUUACUUAUUUGUGGUCCAGUAGGCCUAAAUCAGUAAUAAGGAUUUGACCCUUCACUUGAAAAUAGAUUUGAUUGAUCAAAUGCUCCACUGGAAUCAGUGGGUGUAGUGUCAAGCAUAUCAUUUAGUACUGAAGGACAGUAUUGCAUCAAUUUUAAAAAAAGUUCCUGCACUUUGUCUAUACCUGUGUUCUCUUACCAGCUAAAUCGUCUGCUGUUGCAUUUCCUGUUGUCACAAUGAGUGGUUUUCUUAGGGUAGAUUAGCAGUUAGCUUGUAAGGAAAGUUUAGUCUUGGGGAAAGGAAUGAAACAAAAAUUGGCAUUUGAAGGAAGAUUUGGAUAGGUGAUGUUUGGUGGUGGGGAAUUUCCAUGCCAUAGUUUGGCUUGAAAAACACUGAAUCCACUUACGUUGAUGCAUUUCCUAAGCAUGUGAUUUCUUCUGAUCUGAUUUGAGAAUGUAACUUAAUCCACUUGUUUGUUCAUGAUAGCAUCAACUUGAUAGAAUUAAAGGAAAAUUCUGGAAGAAUAAAUGUACAAUCUCAUUUGGCAACAAACUACUUCAGAGAUACACGAUGGUGGGUCGCUAUUAUAGCUUAGCCAACUAACUAGGUGCCACAGGACCUUUGCCUUCUCUACAGGGUUAGGAAUCACAAUUGACACAUGUUAUUGAAAGUGUGUUUCUGGCAUUUAAAGAAGUUAUAAAACUUGUAUUGGGGGCAGAGUCCAUUGAUAUGUUAUGUAGCGUUAUGAACAGUAAGCAAGUACAUUUAUUUAUAUUGUCCAUAAUACUGUGUACUUCCCCCACAUACAUGACUCUCAUAUUAUAGCAGUAAUGUGAAUGGAAAAUUAUUCAAGACUCAGUCCAACUGCUGCUAGUGUCUCAAAGGCCACAGUGCUAGGCAAACUAAGUGAGUCUCAGUGGGACUUAAUUUCUGAAUAAAUAUUAAUAGAGUUGGGUUGUAAUGCUACAAUCCUAAGUGUAUUUAAACACAAGUUUCAUUGAAAUCAAGGGAUUAGCUU